rnacentral:tRNA from 1 species
AGUAAGAUGGCUGAUACUAAAGCGGUAAAUUGUAAGUUUAUUAAUGGAUUUCCUCUUAUUA